UGCGAAGGGGGCUAGCGUUGCUCGGAAUCACUGGGCGUAAAGGGUGCGUAGGCGGGUCUUUAAGUCAGGGGUGAAAUCCUGGAGCUCAACUCCAGAACUGCCUUUGAUACUGAAGAUCUUGAGUUCGGGAGAGGUGAGUGGAACUGCGAGUGUAGAGGUGAAAUUCGUAGAUAUUCGCAAGAACACCAGUGGCGAAGGCGGCUCACUGGCCCGAUACUGACGCUGAGGCACGAAAGCGUGGGGAGCGAACAGG
rnacentral:rRNA from 1 species